rnacentral:lncRNA from 1 species
UCUUCACAUCCAUUAUCAACCCCCAAAUCUAUCUCCUCUUUCACUGCUAUUAUUGCCUUUAUCAGGCCAAUCAGAGGAGCUCUUCCAUACUAUGGAACCCAACACCGACUUUCUUCAAUGAUUGUCGCUUCUCCCUUGCUGCUCUCAAUUCCCAUUGCCCUCUCCAAACUAUUAUGAGGCUUUAUAAAAGGGAGGAGUCUUGCUUUAUAACUCGCUCUCAAUGACAGAAAAUACAUUCAAUGAGGACCUUCUAUGCUUCAAGUUGCAAAGUAUAUUUGACUUCUAUAUGCUAUGUUGCAAAAUAUCAACAAAAAAAGCUUGCAUGAUGCUUCAAUUUCAUGGAUGUGGCUAGAAGACUAUGUGCUACCUUUUAUGCUUGGCAUUGAUUGUGCUUGUGUUUUAACACGUUGGUAAUGAUUUUUUUUUUCACUCAAAUUGUGCCUAUGCUUGUAUUCUUCUGAUAUCUUUCCAUAGUUCAAAUAGAUGGUAGUGAUCAGCAUCUGAGAUUUAGUAGAGGGUCAUGCAGCUAGCCUCAUGCAUGGUGUCUAAUGACUUACACCAUCUGCUAAAAUGAAAGAAGGACACACAAUACACAAUUUC